GACGAACGCUGGCGGCGUGCCUAAUACAUGCAAGUAGAACGCACAGUUUAUACCGUAGCUUGCUACACCAUAGACUGUGAGUUGCGAACGGGUGAGUAACGCGUAGGUAACCUGCCUGGUAGCGGGGGAUAACUAUUGGAAACGAUAGCUAAUACCGCAUAAUAUUGAUUAUUGCAUGAUAAUUGGUUGAAAGAUGCUAUUGCAUCACUACCAGAUGGACCUGCGUUGUAUUAGCUAGUAGGUGAGGUAACGGCUCACCUAGGCGACGAUACAUAGCCGACCUGAGAGGGUGAUCGGCCACACUGGGACUGAGACACGGCCCAGACUCCUACGGGAGGCAGCAGUAGGGAAUCUUCGGCAAUGGACGAAAGUCUGACCGAGCAACGCCGCGUGAGUGAAGAAGGUUUUCGGAUCGUAAAGCUCUGUUGUAAGAGAAGAACGGGUGUGAGAGUGGAAAGUUCACACUGUGACGGUAUCUUACCAGAAAGGGACGGCUAACUACGUG
rnacentral:rRNA from 1 species